GCUCCCAUUCCCGGCCCGGCCCCGCAGCCCGGGAUCCGCCCGCCUUCCCUCGGGCUGGGCGGAGAGCAGGAUAAUGGCACGGAGGAAUUACAUUUCUGCCGCUCUUGGCUGAGGACUAUUCAUAUACUGAAUUUCUCUUGAGUCUGUGACCUGGAAGAAGGGAAGUUGAUAACUGCUACCAGGCAUCUCCAGACCUCUUAAAGUAAUCCAAAAAGUGAAAUGCAAUAGAGCAAUAAGUGAGCACUCAGAUGUAGUUCAGCUCAUGGGGCUGAGGCGGUGCCAUCCCACCAGCUGCUCUGUGCCAAGUUCCUCCUGCUGCGAGCCCACCCGCACAGCUUGCUGCCAGCUGUGGCUCUUUCUUCCCCACAGCUGCUGCAAAAUCUAACCCAAGUGUGUCUGAGGCCUCUGCAAGCAGCUUGACCUCUGGUCUGAAGCCUUAAAUAAAGCUGGAAUACUUCCUUUUAAGAGGAGAAAGGGAACAGAGAAGGUAAUAGAAUUCAAUGGAGUUUUUAAGAAAUUAUGAAAAUGCAGUAAAAAGUAACUUUUGCAGUAAAAAUGCAGAAAAUGCAGUAAAAAGUAUUCUUCCAAAGUAAGAGGCUGUUAAGUGGCAUUGGUAAGAUGGCACUUAUGGAUAACUCUGUGUCUAGUUAUCCAUCAGACUUGCACAAGGUCCAGAAUAAAGAAUCUGACAGAACUAUACUUUAAUGGCUGACAUUUACACAGCUCAUUUCUAUUUGGCAUCUGCAGAAUGCUUAUGGAGAUAAUGGCUAUUUAAUAUUACUUUUGACAGUAGUCAAAAAUAACAUAAAGACAGGCAGAGAACCAGAGGCAGAGAAAAGAUUUCUGUAUUUUUGGGUCGUGUUUUAAAGAACACAAAAUUGCAGAAAUAUCUUCAUGUUUUCUCUUAGGAGUGGUCCUGGGCUAAUGCCAAAUCCAGGCUGAGGAGGCGUUUCAGAAAGUGAUGGUUGGCCCAGACCAAAGGCAUGCUGAUGACCAGGGCACACAUCAGUGGCCUCAGCACACUUAUACUGCUGGUUAAUUCAUUAAUAUAGACACAGUCUUCGUGCCAGUCCCCUUCUCUCAUCAAAACAACAUAAGGGAAAGACCUGAUGCUGGGUUUACCAUAAUACGAUUAAAGAAAGCUCCUCUCAGAGACAGUGCAACAGAAAAAGCUUCUGUAUGAGCUUCUACUUGCUUGAAAUUACUACCUUGAUUUGCAGCUCUUUUCUAAUAUUAGGAAAUUUUUAGGUGUCCUGAGGCAACAAUUUCUGCCAGGUACACAGUCAGAGAGGCAGCCCUGCUUCAGCUUCUCUUAGGGCUUCAUUUUGCUCCUCUAUGAGGGGUACCAAUUUGCAGAAACUUUCUGAGACCCAUGAUGGGAGAAAUGUCCUUACCUCCUCCAUAGAUUUCAUGGUCUCCAAAGAUUCCUUCCAUACCUCCACCACCUUCCCCUCCCACAUUUGCAUCUCUGUCACAGAAAAAUCUUGUUAAUUUACUUACAGACAUACAGGCUGCACAAAUGAACACCAGCACAAGACAUAUAAUGGAAAAAUAUUAUCCUCCACCACAGAAAGGUCCAGGACCAAUUUCACACUGGGACACUCAAGAAGCUGUCACAAAGGAUGUUGUUUUUUAAACUUUUCAAUAAAUUAAUUUAGAAUCUUUCAAGUCUUCCAGGUCAUCCAGAAUCAUCCAGGUCUUCAAAUUCAAAACUUUUGGUCCCAGAAAUUAGAAUUCUACAAAAAUAUUUUUCCUGUUUUUAAAACUAACACCAUGUGAGAUCAAGAACUAAACCAAUAAAUGCAUUUUUUUAAUAAAU